UCGAAUCAGGGUAGGACUAUCUCGCUGAACUAUAAGCCAUAA
rnacentral:rRNA from 1 species